AAACCGUCCCUAAGUUUUGCAAUUGUAGUAGUUUUGGCCUCCAAGACCAUUUUUUGAUAAAAAAAUAAAAUAAAAUAACACGUGGCACCUCACUUAGGGUGCCACGUUAGUGUAGACCGAGUCAAAAUUGACUUUGGGGGCCAAAACUGCCACAGAUGCAAAACUUAGUGAGCGAUUU
rnacentral:pre_miRNA from 1 species